UUACAGCCAUUACUAAAGCAAGCCCAGGAAAUAUCGGAAACUCAUGCAGCAGAGCAGAGGUUAAGUCAGCAGUCUCUUAGACACCGGCUGUCAGACAAAAUCACAGAACAGGUGGAAGUGAAUACUGACAUUUUGAGUGACAUGAUUUUGAGUGAUAUUAUCCGUGA